CCUACGGGAGGCAGCAGUGAGGAAUAUUGGUCAAUGGCCGGAAGGCUGAACCAGCCAUGCCGCGUGAAGGUCAGUGCCCUAUGGGCGUUAAACUUCUUUUGUGCGGGAGCAAUAAUGGUCACGUGUGGCCAGACGAGAGUACCGUACGAAUAAGCAUCGGCUAACUCCGUGCCAGCAGCCGCGGUAAUACGGGGGAUGCAAGCGUUAUCCGGAUUUAUUGGGUUUAAAGGGUGCGUAGGCUGUGAGGGAAGUCAGCGGUGAAAUGCCCCCGCUCAACGGGGUGAAGUGCCAUUGAUACUGCCUGGCUGGAAUGCGGAUGCCGUGGGAGGAAUGUGUGGUGUAGCGGUGAAAUGCAUAGAUAUCACACAGAACACCGAUUGCGAAGGCAUCUCACGAAUCCGCGAUUGACGCUGAUGCACGAAAGCGAGGGUAUCAAACAGGAUUAGAUACCCGAGUAGUC
rnacentral:rRNA from 1 species